rnacentral:rRNA from 1 species
GAAAAGCACUCUGAAGAGAGAGUCAAAGACCGUGAAACCGCUCAGAGUAUAAGCCCAUGGAGUUCGGAAGGCAUACCGCCGCUGAGUAGUUGGCGACAUGAAAGGAAGGUCUGUCAGGAAAAGGGAGUCUGAGCUGAUAUCCCUCUGUCGCGCGGGGGAGAGUGUGGUGGACGUGGGGCUUCGGUCCUGCGCUUCCUCCUCACCUCUCUCUUAUGCGCGGACGGUCAAGGCUUUAUGUCGUAGGCGGGAACUGCCCACCACGGCUCGUUGUGAGGUCACCCACAGGCUCGACUGUCGAUCGCGUGUUCUCCUCGCUUAGCACUCGAGUGUCGAAAUGCGUUCCGUCGCCCCAAUCUUUUACCUGAAGUUGGGUCGCGGCGGGAUCGACACGCGCGGCGAGGCUCAGUCUCAAAACGAACCGGACGGCGACCGAGAUAAACCUGGUAUGAUCCUCGUGCGACGAGCUGCUUUCUGGCCAGAGCUGCAUCCAGGCCUCGUCUCAUGUGCCGAGCGAGGCCCCGUCCCCACGGGCAGGCUUGCGCCCUCUGCCGUCGGUGUUUCAUAUGCCGGCGGCAAGGUCCUCCUCGCCGGUUGCAGCUCUGAGUGGUGUUAAGUCCGACACCAUCGGUCACGUCUCGAAACACGGGCCAAGGAGUAUAGCAUGUGUGCAAGUCUAAGGGUCUCUCAAAACCCGGAGGCGAAGUGAAAGCAAGGUUGUGGCGGGUGAGCUCCCCUUCACCGGGGAGCAAAACCUCGUCAGCCGGAAAGGCGCACGCGUCACUCGUGGCGUGUGUGGCCGUUCGGCUAUUCGUUUUAUGCACGAGCUGAUACUACUAUUACGGAUAAGUCCUGAGGUAGUCGCAAGCUCCGGGCUCGCGUACAGCACUGGCCGCUUGCGACUGUGUUGCGAGCACCGUGAAGCAUGCAUGCUAU